GCAACUAGACAAAACAUAGAGCUUUCAAGAACAAGAAUAGAAACAAAAUACAAGAAAGUUGUGUAAACCUCUUCAACUCUUCCCAAAACCUUGUUAACUCAGUGAUAAAAUUGAUUGUGAUUAAGGAUGAAGGCUGUAGUAAUCACAAUCCCUGGUGGUCCAGAAGUGUUGAAGCUUCAAGAAGUGGAAGACCCACAAAUCAAAGAUGAUGAAAUCUUGAUUAAAAUAGCAGCUACUGCCCUUAAUAGAGCUGAUACCCUUCAACGCCAAGGUAAAUACCCACCCCCUAAAGGAGACAGUGAAUACCCAGGUCUUGAAUGUUCUGGAACUGUUGAAGCAGUCGGCAAGGACGUUACUCGCUGGAAAAUUGGUGACCAGGUUUGUCUGAUUACAGUUUCCAUUUAAAAAAAAAUGACAACUUUAUUCUUGAAAUUGAAGCUUAAUUGUUGUUUGUUAUUGUAGAAUUGUUAUAUUUCCUUUUGAUGUUGGGUAAUAUGACAUGGAGGAGGUUAUCUGAAAAUGCCUAAAUCUUUGGAAUCUAUGGGGACUUGGCUAAGAACACAGCACAAAGGAAUAAGAUAUCUGAAAAUGCCUAAUCUUUCGAAUCUUACUAGCUCCAUUUCAAUUUUUUUUGUGUGGUUUUGACUUGACACUAAGUUUAAGAAAGUAAAGACAUUUUUUUAAUUUUGUGGUAUUAAACUAAAAUAUGUAGAACCUAUCAAAAUGUCUUUUAAUCCUGUGAUGUUAAACAAGCCUUGUAAAAAGUUAAAACUAAGAGUUGCCAAAAAGGGAAAAAAGACAAUCUUUUUAAAACAGACUAAAAUUUUUUGUCAAAAAAUAAAACAGACUAAAAAAUGUAAGUAAGACAAACAAAUUGAAAUGGAUGGAGUAUUUUUGUUAGAGUUUUCUAUGUCAGACUAGGAAUAGGUAGGAAUUAGAGAACCAUUAAUGAGUAUUGGAAUAAAAUGAGCCCCAAUAGAGAAGAAUGGAUAAAGGAUUCAUAUAGCUUGACUCCACCUAGUUUGAGUUUUUGGGGUAGUUAACUAGUUAUUGUUGUUGUUGUGUAUGGAGUAAAAUAUUUCCAUUUCAUUUUGUGGUGCUUCGUUUGACAUAAAUUUGGUAGAAUUUAAUAGUGGUGGAACCCUUCGGGGUGGCCCAGUGGUUUGAGCUUGGAACUUCCAUGUUGGAGGUCUCAAGUUCGAAAUCCCUUGCCAGCGAAAGCAAAGGGUUUGCCUUCUGGGUCGAGCUCGUCGCACCAGGCUUGCCUAGUGCGGGUUACCUCUCCUAUGUGGUUUGCGAGCUAUUGCAUAGGAGCGGGGGUUUUACUUUGUGCGCACCCAAAGGGUAGCGGCUGCGGGUUUCCCUUGUCAUCAAAAAAAAAAAAGAAUUUAAUAGUGGUGGAAGUGGUGAUAAUUAAGUACGAGGAGGGGGGAAUAAUGUCUAUAUCUUGAUAAGUAAAGAUUAAGGGGAAAAAUGACCUCCACCCAUCAGGGACGAAAGGCUUCUUGUUUCAAGAUGAAAGAAUUUCCUUGAGUAGUAACCUGAAUGAUUCUGGACUAGCCCUGGUUAGUAGGGUAGCAGUUAAUCCAUUAGCUUCCUGAAGUGAAACUAGAACAAUAUUAAGUUCUUGUUAAGCCUUAGCAGGAGACAUUGCAGUGAUGUUUUAUGAGCUUAUGUUCUUUUUCUUUGUUGGUUUGGAGAGUACAUUUCUAUGUAUUGUUUGAAAGGGAGUUUUGUUUAGUGCAUUGAUGAUGUAAAAGCUUCACAUAAUAGGUAUGUGCUCUCAUUGGUGGAGGAGGUUAUGCAGAGAAAGUAGCUGUACCUACUGGACAAGUUCUUCCUAUUCCAUCAGGUGUUUCUUUACAAGAUGCAGCUAGCUUUCCUGAAGUGGCAUGCACUGUUUGGUCGACCAUUUUCAUGACGAGCAAGCUUUCCUCGGGUGAAACGUUUCUGGUGAUUAGACAGACCAUAGCUAUUCUUUUAAACAAUUUGUUGUUUAGCAGUAGUUCCUUUUUCUUUUAUCUAUGCAGAUUAUCAGCCAUUUAGUCAAUUGGCAGAGUCUUUUGGGUAGUAUGUUCACAAUUGAAUCUUUAUGUCCUUGAUUCUGGUGGAGUAAGAUCAAGUACGUGAAAUGACUGAUAGCUACAUGUGUUACAUUCAGAUACAUGGAGGCUCUAGUGGAAUUGGUACCUUUGCCAUUCAAAUGGCUAAGUGCCUUGGAGUCAAAGUUUUCAUCACAGCAGGUUCAUGAUGAUAUCUUAUCUUAUUAUGGAACUGAAAUCAUUCAGCUAACCAUGUCAAGUCUUGUUAACCAGGAAGCGAGGAAAAACUUGCCGCAUGCAAAGAACUCGGGGCUGAUGUUUGCAUCAAUUACAAGACUGAAGACUUUGUUACACGCAUCAAGGAAGAAACAGGAGGGAAAGGUAAUCAUUAUCAUAGGCAUCAUUUAUUAUAUUAGAAACUAGGUCUGCUUGAUAAACAAACAACAACUACGCCUCAGUUCCAAACAAGUUGGGAACUUGGUCUUUGUGAUAUCAAUUAAAAUUCGAAUAUGCAUGUUUCUGUAGAAAAUUAUGAUGGUUAUCAUAUAUCUCAUGGGGCUAUGGGGGAAACCACUCAAUUUCUUCUCAUGUCUGACAUUGGUGAUAUUCUAAUUUCGAUGUUCAACACAGGUGUUGAUGUCAUACUAGAUAAUAUAGGAGGUUCAUACUUCCAACGAAACCUUGACAGCCUCAAUGUUGAUGGUAGGCUCUUCAUUAUUGGUUUUAUGGGAGGAACAGUGACACAAGUAAAUCUUGGCUGUUUGUUAGCAAGACGCCUGACAGUGCAGGGUAAGUGCAGAUGCGCUCUGAUAUAUUUGGAGUGAUCUUUUCUGUGAAAUGUAUUCUUAAAUUUGAUAUGGUGAACUUGUCUGACCAAAUACUCGAACAAGCAUGCUGUUAGUCAACUGGAAGAGAGAUAUCUCAAGACACUUUACUGUAAUUCCAGUUUCUUUCUAUUCCCACCCCACCCUGACUAGCUCAAUGAGUGGGGCAGAGAUUGUAUUCAUAUAGUUGCACAUGCCAAUAGAUGACUUCUAAGGUCUUGUGUUCAGUUGGGCUUAGAGUGUAGAUUCAGUUGGUUAAUUCCAUGGGGAAGCAAUGAUUAUCAAUUGCAGCUGCAAUUCUAAUAAUUGGUGCACAAGAAAUGAAGUAAUCUUAAUUUACCCUGAUCUUAAUAUUCUCUAACUUCUCUUUCUGCUGCAUCUUUUUCGUUACAUGCAAUUGCUUCUACUUCAAUGAAGCUUAUGUAAAGCAAGUUUCUCUCUCUUCCUCGUUUGUGUGUGUAUAUCCAGAUCCUAGUGUUCUCCACUUCGCAAAUGAACUGUCUUGAAGUCUCGGUGUUCAUUUGCCUCGUUGAUAUCCCUUAUUUUGACAGAGUGAGAAGCUAACUUGUGUGACACGUGGAAACCAUGUGUUUGUAUCUUUCUUCCAUUUUUAUAAGGCUCUCUCACAUAUCCUACCAUGCUCCUUUACUUUUGUCCUCUUUACUUUCCCUCGCUUCACUUCUACUACUGUUCCUCCCGUAGCUUUAGUUCCUUGCAGUAAUCAGCCUCAGUUAUCUCAUAAACAGUCCUGACUUUCAACCACCAACCAUGGUUUAUAAUAAUCUGGUGACUUCUAUGUGCACUGGCCUACUUUAAUUUAUUUCAGGAUGGGAAAGAUAAGAUAGUGUAAUAGAAGAAAAAGCAACACAAGCUUCCACUGAUAUUACUGGGUUUUAUUAGAUGGUAUAGGUCUCAAUUUAAUAUCAGGAGAACUGAAAUAUUAUGAUUCAUUUUUCAUAUAUUUACCUUAUCAAGAAAAAAAGAAAAAAAAAAGAGAAGGUGAUUCAUCUUUCAUGUGAAGUUGAGCUAUGUCUCUUCUUUGAAAUCCUCAUUUAGUAAUUCUUCGUCAACUUGGUCAAAUUUCGGCCUCUUCCUCCUGGGUACUUGUUAUGGUUAGUUUGAAUUUUGAAAUUUUGAAAUUAUUAGUCCAGCUCUCUCAUUCUCGCAUAAUCCUAUCCAAUGUGUCUAUUCCCUCCAUGUUCUAACUGAUCCUUCUCUUAGUUGAAGAAUCCUUCAUUGAUAUCUUUGAGGAAGUUCUCUUUUCAAAGUGCAUAGACAAUUGGAGAGAAAAAAUUCUUUUGGAAUGUUGAAAUCUAGUCUCAUGGAUUUUUUCUCUGAAUGAAUGCCAUGGUCCUCAUUUUUUAUUGCUUUUCAGUAGUUUUUAUGUCAAUUUGUGACUUUUCUACAGCUGCUGGCUUGCGUAGUAGAAGCACAAAAAACAAAGCUCAAAUUGUGAGAGAAGUGGAAAAGAAUGUUUGGCCAGCAAUUGCAGCAGGCAAGGUGAAACCAGUGGUGUACAAGUACUUCCCCUUAGCAGAAGCUGCUGAGGCUCACCAGUUAAUGGAAAGCAGCAAGCACAUUGGAAAGAUUCUGCUUACUGUUUAAAUGUUGUAAAAGAGAGAUUUUCUUGUUCCUAGUGUUAAAAUUGCCUGUACUCCCAGCCAGUCAACCCCCCAAACCUCUGCUGCAUGUAUUAUACUUUGCAAUGUUCCAAUAAAACAAAACCUUUUUAUGAUUUUUUUUCAUUUUUUUGUUUGCGUAAAAUAGAUUUGCUGUCUAUUUCCAAGCUAAGUACAAAAUACAGAAUUUGCAUGUCAUUCUAAUAAUAGAACAAAAACCAUGAACACAGCUGGAAAAAAGAGCAAAGGUUUCCUUAUAAUAUUCUGCAAGUCAUACAAUUUUGUAUAUCAUGUUUGGUAGCAAGUUUUGAGAUAUUUACCUGAAAUUUUACUUGUCAAGUUCAAAUUUUUGAUGAUCAUACCUAAAGUUUCAUAUAUGUAGUAUUUUUUAAAACAAAUUUGAACUACCAAUCUUUAUCCCUACAAUAUUUUCAUGUUUUUUUCUCAAUAAUAUCCACUUGACAUAACUUUAAUUGUGCAUUAAUUUUUUAUAAUGUAAAUCAUUACUCUUAUCUUUAACUUUAUUUUUUUGUUGUUAUUAUUAAAAGAAACUAUAGAUCGAGGUGAUGUUGCAACUAGACAGAACAUACAGCUAUCAAGAACAAUAAUAGAAACAAAAUACUCCUCCUCUGUUACUUUUUUUUUUCCUAGUUCGGCGGCUAGUCCAACUAUUUUGAAUUCGCGCCACAUAAGAAAGAAAACACUCCCUACAAAAGAUUUUUUCAUAUCCAGGCUCGAAUUCGAGAGUGGAGUAGCAGCCCAUCUGCUACACAACAUGUGGUACUCUACUACUCCUUUAUGUAUGCAAUAAAGUCUAGUAAAUCUCUUCAACUCUUCCCAAAACCUUGUUAAAUCAGUGAUAAAAUUGAUUGUGAUUAACGAAGGAUGAAAGCUGUAGUAAUCACAAGGCCUGGUGGUCCAGAGGUGUUGAAGCUUCAAGAAGUGGAACACCCACAAAUCAAAGAAGAUGAAAUCUUGAUCAAAAUUGCAGCUACUGCCAUUAAUAGAGCUGACACCCUUCAACGCCAAGGUGAACAUCCACCCCAUGAAGGAGAAAGUGAAUAUCCAGGUCUUGAAUGUUCUGGAACUGUUGAAGCCGUCGGCAAGGACGUUAUUCGCUGGAAAAUUGGUGAUCAGGUUUCAUAUAUUCAUAGUUAUAUAUUUUGUUAUGCGAUUAUGAUGUCAUGAAAUUAAAUAUGAUAAUGCAUAGAUGAAGAAGGAGAUAAUACAGUGAUGUUUUUAUGAGCUUAUGUUUUUUUUCUGUGUGGGAUUUGGAG
rnacentral:lncRNA from 1 species